GAAGUUACAUUUAUGAGACGGAGACAGAACUUUCUUACAAUUCAGAGGCACUAAAGCUAUAAACUGUGCUGUAAUCCUGAGCAAACAAAAGUAACCAUUUUGAAUUGCUUUCAAGAUAUGAGACAGAUGGCAUGUAUUUAUUUUUAAUGUUUAAGAAGAUAGAGAAAGCAAUUGGGGAUGUGACAUCCUGCAUUAAUUGGCAAGCAUCACCUAAUGUACAUAGUUAAGACACAAAGAGAGGAAAAUUAGGUCCAUGCAUCACCCAAAUGAGGCAAUACAACAAAGUGUAUUUAACUAGGUUUAUUUUAUAACAUGGUCUCUCUGUUUCACUCUAAGUAAUUUUAAUGAGGAUUCUCUAAACGUCUGUGAGUAAAAUGAGUCUAAGAGGAAGAGUCUGGGUACCACAUGUCCUUAUGGGAGCUAUGCUGGGCUGAGCGGUCACCGCAGAAUUUUCAAUAAAAGCAGAUUUAACAAGAAUGUCCACUGUCGCUGUCAGUUCCUCCAAACUUCGGUUUCCAGGCCUUGCACUGACUUCCCUUUACAUAAUCCAUACCAAAAAAAAAAAAAAAAAAAAAAAACCACACACACACACACAACCCCAAAGAUAUCAUAUGAUCUGGAAGAGUUCCUUAAAUUAAGAGCCCCCAAUUCAAAGCUGCCAUAAACAAUUAUUAACUUUCUAAAAGGCUCAGCGACUUAGAUAAUGGGUAAGUGUUCCCCAUGCUGCGGAUCAGCACUUUCUGGAGCUCUGUGCAGGGCUGGACGCCCCAGCACGUUUAGGGGUAACUUCCCUGUACCGACUAAGCAUAGUUCUGUGCUCAUCCAUUUCUUGAGUUUCACAUUACCACACUUCGUUUGGGUUGGGCGAGAUUUCCUUCCAGACGUGCAAUCUACGGGAUGGCGUGUGCCGGCUUUUUCAAUGAACUCUCUGUGGAAGCAGGCAGCGUUGUUGGGGGUGGCUUUUCCGCUUGUGCAGGUGAGGAGAUGGAAAGUGAAACAGCCCUGAAGGGAUUGCUUCCUUUCUCUGCUUUGAGACGGGAAUGUAAAAAGCUCUUUACUAUCGCCCCCGUCCUGACUCGUACCAUUCACCAUCCUCCCCCAAACAGCUCAUUUCUGCACAGCUCCAAAGCUGGAGCGAGCCGGCUCUCCAUGAGACAUAUUCUAUGUGCCUAUAUUUUAACUAUACAAAUGCAACUCCUUAUGGUAAAACUGUUUUGGGGGGGAGUUCUGGUCUAUACAUCGUUUAGUUAAGGUAAUUGAAAGAGAACGUUCCCGUUCACUCCAGAUUUAAAAUACCCUGAACCACGGCCUUCCUGUGUUAAUAACCUAUCUGGCAUCAUGCUCCAGGUGGGGACGGACAGCUGGAGGUACCGCAGGACUGCUGGGCAACAGGCCACUGAACAUCCAGAUUUUCCGGAGUUGCUCCUGCAACAUCCUCGAGCCCCAAAUGAUCUACAUAAGGGAGCAGUGAGAGUGGUGAGGGGCUCUUCACCGAGUGGAACAGCAGCAGGCUGUGCUUGUGCUUCUCUCAUCAUGGGCUGCAGCAGUCAGACCUUGAGUAUGUCAGGAGCGGGGGGGGGGGGGGGGGGAGGGGGUGGGGGCGGUGGGGACAGGAACCACUUCCAGGCCCACUGUGACCAGGAAAGUUUAGGGGGUUUGAGAGAGGAAGGCAACCAGCAGCUUCUGGUUCCCCGGGAAUCAAUCACACCCCUCCCACGGACUUUCCUGUGCUUAGGUAAUCAGUAGUCUUGCCUUUUAAGGACCUAUGUAUUCCAGUGACAGCUGGAGGGCACCUGUCAGUCAGGCACCUGCACAGGAAUGUGGGAAAGCUGUUGUCCAAAUGCCCCAGAGCCCUUUCUUCAAGCUGUGAGUCUCCUUGGAAGCUUUUAACAGUGACCCAAGCUAGGAGUCACUGUUUUUUUAAGGGAAUUCCAGCAGUUGUGUUUACUUUCCUAUGUUCUGGGGACUCAGUGGUGAGCCUUCCGACACAGAACUUUACAAAUAAAAAGAUUCGUUAGUUCCCAGCUUUUUGUGAUGCUUUCUUAAACCCUUUAAACUUUGUUUUUUCUCAUCCCCAAAAUGGGAACCAUGGAAAUCCUCUUGGGAUUGUUGACGGAUGUUGACGGAUGUUGGGGAACCCAGCACGUGGUCUGGCACACGGCAAGUGAUGGACAGUUGAUGUUCAUUAUCAUUGUGUGCGUUUUCCAGGGACUCCAGUGAAGGACAGGCUUGGGCUUUAUGGGUUGUUUUUAUGAUCAAUAACAUAGCUUCCUCUUGGAAGGCUCGCCGUGCUACUGAAAUCUUCAAGUCAAACACUUUCCUGUUAGAAGCCGUGAACGUGCUGACCCAUGGCAGAAUGGAAGUGACCAACAGCUUCAGUGAGCUGUUCAGUGAGCUGUUCACAGUGUUUUGAACAAACGACCAAGAACCAAGAAGUCCCAAAUGUUACCGCAGUUUACAGGAGCGGCUAUAAAUCCCAAGUCUCGUCCGGUUGUUCUGAAUCAGGUGGGCUGUGCUUCAGUUACCGUUACACGGAUGUCUCAUCAAAGUCCAGUGGAAUUAUUGCGUUAUUCAACUUCUUACCUUUGUCCUUGAUUCCAUGGAUUAAGUGUGUGGAAAACCUCAUCCGUCACCAGGUAUCAGCCUCCAUGCUAGAACCCUCUUUAAUCUGGCAUAUGCUCUAUCCAAUUAAAAUUCCUAUGCUUACAUUCAGACACACA